rnacentral:lncRNA from 13 species
AUGAGUUUCCUGGCCCCGGAGGCUUCCUGCACUCCUCAGCUUUUGCUGCCCUUCUUGAAUGACUCGAGGUUCCUGCUUCCAACACUACACUUCCCGUCGCUCUCCAUCACCUGCUCUGUUCUGAUAAGGAUCUGGGCUGGCUGCAGUCUUCGUUCCCUGCAACAUUUGUCUCCUGGGUUCAAGAGAUUCUUCUACCUCAACCUCCUGAGCAGCUGGGACUACAGAGAAAUGCAGUGAUGGUAUCACUGAUCUAUAUAAACACAUUGAAGAACUAUCCGAAAGAAAAUAUGGUAUGUUGAAGAACUGCCUGAAAGAAAAUAUG